rnacentral:rRNA from 1 species
CCUACGGGGGACUGCAGUGGGGAAUAUUGCACAAUGGGGGAAACCCUGAUGCAGCGACGCCGCGUGAGCGAUGAAGUAUUUCGGUAUGUAAAGCUCUAUCAGCAGGGAAGAAAAUGACGGUACCUGACUAAUAAGCCCCGGCUAACUACGUGCCAGCAGCCGCGGUAAUACGUAGGGGGCAAGCGUUAUCCGGAUGUACUGGGUGUAAAGGUAGCGUAGACGGCUGUGCAAGCCAGAUGUGAAAGCCCGGGGCUCAACCACGGGACUGCAUUUGGAACUGUGCUGCUAGAGUGUCGGAGAGGCAGGCGGAAUUCCUGGUGUAGCGGUGAAAUGCGUAGAUAUUAGGAGGAACACCAGUGGCGAAGGCGGCCUGCUGGACGAUGACUGACGUUGAGGCUCGAAAGCGUGGGGAGCAAACAGGAUUAGAUACCCCAGUAGUC